rnacentral:rRNA from 1 species
AUGGCUGGAUUCGCUGAUGCACUGAGGCCGGAUAAGUUUACCGGUGUGCACUUUAAGAGGUGGCAGGUGAAGAUCACGCUCUGGCUUACUGCUCUGAAAGUUUUCCACGCUAGUGUUGGUGCUCCAGAGGGAAUGACCGACGAAGAUCGGAGAAAAUUCCAGGAAGCCAAUACUAUGUUUGUGGGAUGCAUUCUGAGUGUUCUUGCUGACCGUCUGUGUGAUGUGUACAUGCACAUAAAUGACGUAAAAAUUCUGUGGGAUGCACUGAAUGCAAAAUUCGGUGCAACAGAUGCAGGCAAUGAACUGUACAUCAUGGAGAGUUUUCAUGACUACAAGAUGGUGAAUAACCGUUCUGUGGUUGAACAAGCUCAUGAGAUACAGUGCAUUGUGAAGGAACUUGAACUCCUUAAAUGUGUUCUACCCGACAAAUUCGUGGCUGGGUGCAUGAUUGCAAAGUUGCCUUCUUCAUGGAGGAAUUUCGCCACAACUCUGAAGCAUAAGAGACAGGAGAUAUCAGUUGAAAAUCUGAUUGCAUCUCUUGAUGUUGAAGAAAAAGCUCGGGCUAAAGAUACCACUGAAAAAGGAGAUGAGGUUCAGCCUACUACUAACAUGGUGCAGAGGUACCCACAGAACAAGAACAAAGGGAAGAACAAACCUGUUUCCAACAAGCCUACCAAGACUACUACCUUCAAGAAGAAGAAGUUCAACAAGGCUGAGCUAGAGUGCUACGUCGCAAGGGAUUCUUCCGUCCUAAUGGGGAAUGGGUCGCAUGCUUCUGUUCGUGGCAUUGGCACGGUGGAUCUGAAGUUUACUUCGGGAAAGAUCGUGCAACUAAGGAACGUGCAGCAUGUCCCUACUAUGAACAAGAAUCUAGUUAGCGGCUCCCUUCUAUGUCGAGAUGGUUUUAAGGUAGUUUUAGAGUCCAAUAAAGUAAUCAUGUCAAGAUUUGGGCAAUUUAUAGGAAAAGGCUAUGAGUGCGGAGGCUUGUUCCGUUUUUCUCUUUCAGAUUUUUGCAAUAAGUCAAUAAACCAAAUUUGUGCUAGUGUUAAUGAUGAUGCAAGUACUUGGCAUUCUCGUUUAUGUCAUAUUAAUUUUGGUUUAAUGUCUCGGCUAUCCAGCAUGAGUUUAAUUCCAAACUUCACAGUUGCCAAAGGUUCUAAGUGUCAUAGUUGUGUGCAAUCUAAGCAACCUCGAAAGCCUCAUAAGGCUGCCGAGGAGAGAAACUUGGCACCUCUAGAACUCAUACAUUCUGAUCUUUGUGAGAUGAAUGGUGUGUUGACAAAAGGUGGAAAGAGAUAUUUCAUGACUUUGAUUGAUGAUGCGACUAGAUUUUGCUAUGUUUAUUUGUUGCAAACUAAAGAUGAAGCAUUAGACUACUUUAAAAUCUAUAAAGCUGAAGUUGAAAAUCAACUAGAGAGAAAGAACAAGCGUCUUAGGUCCGAUCGUGGUGGAGAGUAUUUUCCAAAAGUUUUUGAUGAAUUUUAUGAGGAACAUGUAUUAUUCAUGAGAGGACGCCUCCCUAUUCACCUCAAUCAAAUGGAGUGGCCGAGAGGAAAAACUGCACAUUGA